rnacentral:rRNA from 1 species
AACGUAGGGGACAAGCGUUAUCCGGAUUUACUGGGCGUAAAGCGCCCGUAGGCGGCUUAACAAGUUGGAUGUGAAAGCUCCCGGCUUAACUGGGAGAGGUCAUUCAAAACUGUUAGGCUAGAGGAUGGAAGAGGAGAGCGGAAUUCCCGGUGUAGUGGUGGAAUGCGUAGAGAUCGGGAGGAACACCGGUGGCGAAGGCGGCAUCCUGGACCGAUAUUGACGCUGAUGCGCGAAAGCCAGGGGAGCAAACGGG